CAGUUUAAAAUGGGCUUUGGUGGUACGCUAGAAAUAAAGACCUCAAGGGAAAUAAAGAUUUCAGGAGCUAUUGGACCCUGUGUGUCACUCAAUUCUAAAGGACCCUGUGUGUCUGAAAAUGUAAGUUGUGUUUAUUCUAAAAAGAAAAUACAGGACCAGGAACUGUGGCUUGCACCUGUAAUCCCAGGUACUUGGGAAGCUGAGGCAGGAGGAUUGCUUAAGCCCAGGAGUUAGAGACCAGCUCAGGCAACAUAGAGAGACCCUGUUCCCCUCCUGUUAUCCCCCCAAAAAAGAAAAAAAGACACAGCGAACGCACAGGACAGCACCAAUAAAAACUUGGGGUGGCAGCCUAUAGCAUUCCUUUCAAAAUUCUUAUAUUGAUUGUUUUAGGUAGUUCAGCUCCCAUUGGUAUACCUCUAUUCAUGGUUGCUCUUUCUGCAUACCCUUUUCCCAUCCAUCCCUAAUUAAAACUUUUGUACUGUCA
rnacentral:lncRNA from 10 species